CUACGGGAGGCAGCAGUAGGGAAUCUUCCGCAAUGGACGAAAGUCUGACGGAGCAACGCCGCGUGAGCGAUGAAGGCCUUCGGGUCGUAAAGCUCUGUUGUUAGGGAAGAAUAAGUGCUAGUUGAAUAAGCUGGCACCUUGACGGUACCUAACCAGAAAGCCACGGCUAACUACGUGCCAGCAGCCGCGGUAAUACGUAGGUGGCAAGCGUUGUCCGGAAUUAUUGGGCGUAAAGCGCGCGCAGGCGGUUUCUUAAGUCUGAUGUGAAAGCCCCCGGCUCAACCGGGGAGGGUCAUUGGAAACUGGGAAACUUGAGUGCAGAAGAGGAAAGUGGAAUUCCAAGUGUAGCGGUGAAAUGCGUAGAGAUGUGGAGGAACACCAGUGGCGAAGGCGGCUCUCUGGUCUGUAACUGACGCUGAGGCGCGAAAGCGUGGGGAGCGAACAGGAUUAGAUACCCUGGUAGUCCACGCCGUAAACGAUGAGUGCUAAGUGUUAGAGGGUUUCCGCCCUUUAGUGCUGCAGCAAACGCAUUAAGCACUCCGCCUGGGGAGUACGGCCGCAAGGCUGAAACUCAAAGGAAUUGACGG
rnacentral:rRNA from 1 species